rnacentral:rRNA from 2 species
GGAUGCGAUCAUACCAGCACUAAAGCACCAGAUCCCAUCAGAACUCUGAAGUUAAGCGUGCUUGGGCGAGAGUAGUACUAGGAUGGGUGACCUCCUGGGAAGUCCUCGUGUUGCAUUAC